AGCUGACGAAGGCGCCGUCGCCGUUGCCCAGAGGGAAGGCGGGCUGCAGAGCCACGGGCCGGGCGUCGGAGCGGCAGAACUUGGGUGCCAAGCUGAGCACGUCGCCGCCGACCCCGCCGCUGCUGCUGCAUGACACGUACUCCAGAUCUGGGGACCCUUCACCUGCCUCUACUACUGCAAAUGAUUGGAUAUUCGUCUGACUUGGCUCUUCCCUAAUGUGUGGAACUAAUUUUGUUCACUCUGUUUCAUGCUGGACCUGGCCUGAAAAUGGGCCCUUAUAUUGUCUUUGCACUUUCCAACUUGCCAAGUUUCUGAAAGAAGGACCAAAGUAAUGCCAAGAACUCCCAGAUGAAGAGGACCUUCCUUAGACCUAUAACAGAUUCACUACUUGACUUCAGAGGGAAGUUUCAGCUAAUUCUCAGGAAAAGGUCAAAACAGGCCUGUGACUGUCCCUUGAAUACUGAAGGUAUAAACAAGCUUCUGGCUCCUCCAGGUCAAGCAGAGGAACACUUUUAUUAGAAUGAAGGGUUACUUCUUUGUUAUUCAAACACACACCCACACACAUCCUCUGUAGUCUCCCUAAUGAAAAACCUCAACAGAUGGAGAGCCUGAGCUCCCAAGUCCGCAGGCUGAGAAGAUGCACUUCACUCAAGGGCCAGUGGGCUGGUACAGACUAGGGAAGAGAAAAGGGACAAAGGCUGCUAGUAUAGGUAAUCACUAUCUUUUAAUACUCCUAACACAUAGAAAUUCGAAAAAUCUUGUUCAGCAAUGUUAGCAGCCUGUGAGCCUCGGAAACUAAUUUGGCUGAUGUGUCUCUGAUAGGGAGCUUGGGGCUGCACCAAGGGGAAACAUUCUCCUCCUGUAUUCUCUCCUCUCUCUCGUUUGAAAGCCUGUACAAAGAAAUGGUACAAAUGGAUGGUUAACUUAAUGAUUCCAUCAGAGGCAGAUUUUUCUCUGUCAGGUCCCUGGAUAAGGUGGAGGUCUGAAAGCCAGGAGACAGAAUAUGUACUUAAUCGCCCUUUCUGACCUGCUUACCAGUGACCAGGACUACUCUCCAGGCCUUUCUUCUGCCACUUCCCCAUUCUUCCUGGCUAGUUCAGUUGGGUCUCAGCACUUCAACUCCUGGCUGGAUCCUGAGUUUUUCUUGGUUGCAGGGAAAGCUCUCACUGUCUGCAUCUCCUUCCCCACCCCCACCUCCCGUUUUGCAGCUGGCCAUUCUGGCUGCCUCACAGCUAUCCUGCCUUAAUUCAUAUUUGAUUGCCUGGACAGAACCACCUAGAAUGUCCAGACGACUGCCACCCCUCAGCCAUGGGCCUGAGAUCCUGCCCUGACCCCUUUCUUCAGACCCCAGGAGGACCCACAAUCUCCCUGAUCCCCACCUUCCCCAAAGUAGUCUCUAGGAAAAAAGCAGAGCUGGCUAAGGCCUGAGACAGAGCCAUUUCUUCCCCUUGGGCAAACGAGGUAGACCCUCCCAGAGACCAAUGCCGGAGAGGCCCGGAUCCGAGCUCCCUUUAUAUGGCCUCCCCCAUCACGGAUCCCGUGGGAAAACCUGACACACAAUGGCGCGGCUGCUCCGGGCACCCUCAACCCAGCGCCCUGCGGCAAGGCCUGGAGCAGCCUGGUGGUCUUGGUGCGCUCCCUUUGCCCUCCCCGCAACCCUCUGCGAGCACUCGUCCCAGGAGAGAGACCCUGGCUAGGGUGGAGGUUGCCUCCCGCAAAGGGCGCUGUUGCUGGGGCCUCCCCUCCCCCAUUCUCUUGUUUUUCUGCUUCUGAGACUCGGGAGGGAGGCGGCAGGCGCCUCCGCAGCCGAUAGAGCAGCUAUUGUGACCUUCCCUUGCAGAGCGGGAACCCAGCCGAGUGUGUACCGCCGGCGGUGGCGGGGGAGGAGGCGACUGUGUGUGCAAACCUCAGUCGGAGAGGGGGUGGCGCUGGGAAAUAAAGGUUUGCAACCUCAGGCAGUUGGGCCCUUCAGAGGGCGUUUGGUUGUGUUUAGACUCGGUUGCUUUCUAACACUAAUUGCAGGCUCAAAAGGAGCGGAAUUUAUUGCGAAGGCCAAGGCGGCUUGUUUAUAAUUUAUGAAGUUUUAAAUGGCUGUGCCGCGGGCCCCAACUUUCUCCUGGGCUGGCAGCCGCGCGGAAACGCGCCCUCCCCCGGCUCGCCGCCCACCCCCACCCACGCCCCUCAGAUGAGUCUCACGCCAAUGGCAGGAACAGAUCCGAGCUAUUAGAAGUCUCGGGAACCUCCAGAGAUGACAGAAGGUGGCAGAUUUGGUCCAAGCCCUCACCCCACUCGAGAGGAGGGCGUCGGGGAAAGCUGUGGCUGCCUGGAGAGGGAGCCCCUGAUCCCACACUUCCUUGGAGCCUGAGUGUGAGAGGAAGCUAAUGUCAGCCGGGCUAGACACCGUUUAAAGUCUAAUCCAUGAAACCCUAAGCCGCAAAUGACACUUGGGGCUUUGCAGACACCCGCAGACUCAGCAGAUACUCCUGCGGUAACACACUGUGCUGGAAAACGCCUGGAGCCAUGACACAUUACGUAUUUUUAUUAUUAUUUAUGGUAGGAAGAGGAGAUGAGGGAAAAUCGGGCUGAAUCUAAGCAGCCUGACAAUUCAGCUAGUUAAUAUUUAGCCAGUUAAGAAAGGUGGUUGUAAUCCCUGCAAGGCAGUGAGCUCUCCUUUGAUUUCUCUAAUAGCUUAAAAAAUAAUUUCUUACAAGACAAUUAGAAAUUCUGCCUAUGGAUGCAAAUUUCAUAGAAAACAAUGUUAAGCCUUGAAAGUGGGUAAAAUGUGCCUUCGAUUGAAGUCAUUUAUUCUGUUGAUACACUUCUACAACAUAUAUAUUUUAAACCUGCUCAGAUAAAGUGAAAUUUAGCAAAAGGAUAUCCCCUCCCACCCCCAAAUCUAACAUGCCAUUUUAAAAACAGCACAAAGGAACAAGGAAACUAAAUAUUAUUUUGAGCCAUCAUUACUUAGUGAAAUACAAACAUCCAAAUAGAAACGAUUGUUGUUCCACCAGAAGAUUAGAAGUUAAAUUAUUUCCACACAAUAGGAAUUUCACUUCGUGUCAUCGGGGAUGUAGUAGGAGUUGCAUUAUUUGUCAAACCAAAUAGAGAUGCGUGGGCUGACUUUGCUGAAAUACAAAAGAAUUGAACCUUAUCUGAAGGCGUUUUCUAAGUGGCCCCUCCCAUAGAAGCCGGGAAGUUGUCCACCCCUAGCAGAAGCCACAUUAAUAUUUACAAAAUGGUUAUAAAUCCUUGAAGACAUUUUUGCCCAUUUUGUAUAAGAAACAGGAGUAAACAAGGUGUUUAUACUUGUUAUGUUUCAUUAAUGAA
rnacentral:lncRNA from 1 species